rnacentral:lncRNA from 1 species
UUCUGUCAUACACCAUUCUAUAUUGACUCCAUUAUGAGACAUAAAACAAGGGUCAAAAAAUGCGGCUAAUCCAUGCAGUUGAAAUUCUGAUUUCUGGAUCCAUAAUGAAGGUCACAGAUUUUGACAGUGAUCUACACGUUACCAAAAGUGAUGUAUCCAUUAUAAACAGUCCAAAAUUGCUGACUUGCUCUUGAUGCAAUUGAAAUUCAUUAUAAAAUGAUCCGAAACUACAAAUGUCUAAAAGGCAGAUGAAAUUCAGAACCCAAAAAAAAACUUAAAAUGGACACGGACAGAAUUUAAAAUCAAUACUAACUGUGCCAAAAAUUUCGAGAUCCGAUUUUGCCGAAUGCAUCAAGAAUAAUUCUUAAACUUAACAGUUUAAGGAAUUUCACAAAAUUCAAACAUUCUAUUCGAGAAAAAUAAUCCAAAUAUCAUACAAAUAGAACAUGCACAAAUCCUAAUAAUCUAGCAAAUGAUGACCGCUCUGAUACCACUUGUUAGAAAAUCAAAUUAGAUCCAAAUAUAAAUUAAAU